AACAAAAACAUGUCUUUUUGAUAAUAAUUUAAAGUCUAGCCUGCCCAAUGAUUAUUAAUUGAAUGGCCGCGGUAUUUUGACCGUGCUAAGGUAGCAUAAUAAUUAGUUUUUUAAUUGAGAACUGGUAUGAAUGGCUGGACAAAGAAAAUUCUGUCUCAAGUUUAAUUUAAUUAGAAUUUUAUUUUUAAGUUAAAAAGCUUAAAUGAUUUUAAAAGACGAGAAGACCCUAUAGAGUUUUAUAUUAUUUAUUAUAAAUAAUUUAAGGAAUUAUAUAUUUUAUAUAUUAAAUAGUAUUUUGUUGGGGUGACAAAAAAAUUAAAUGAACUUUUUUUAUAUUUUAUCAUUAAUUUAUGAUUAAGUGAUCCAUUUUUUAUGAUUAUAAGAUUAAAUUACCUUAGGGAUAACAGCGUAAUUUUUUUUGAGAGUUCAUAUCGAAAAGAAAG
rnacentral:rRNA from 1 species